CUCCUUCCAACCACCACCGGCGUCAUCCAGCCGUUCACCUUCUUACACUCAUCAGCGUGUACCCCACAUCUCCACCAUCACACUUCAUCCACUCCGCUCAAAACCUUCGAAACCCUCACGAACCCCAACCUUCAAGCUUCCGAUUUCUUUUCCCUUCGUAAACCUCAUCUUCCAUUGCUCAUACCCUCUUUCGGCAAAAAUCGACCCACUAUUUCUAAGACUCAUGUUUGUUGCAGUUUAUUUUCACUUGUGGAUGCUGUUUUUGCAGGUGAUUUUAGUAGCUGUAAGUUGUGGAGUCUUGUUGUGAGAAUGAAGGGAAGAACGUUAACAGAACUGUGAGUUCUAAAAGAGACAUCAAAACAGGGAUAUGCAAGCUUGGCUCUAGGUUAUGGAUUGGCUUGUGAAUUCACCAUCUGUUCCAACCGUAAAAGAUUUCCCAUCCGAGGCCAACAUCAUCUUCAUCAUUUUUCGUAAGGUUCCACAACGACUCGUGCUCCCCUUAACAAAUUCAUCACGAUGAUCGAUUCGGUUGGUAACACUAUCUUUAGACUUGUUUAUUGUGAUGAGUGCACUGUUAUGGCAUAUUCUUGACUCAAAUUCCUUGCGGUUUUGUCGAAUUUUUGCUUAUGUUCUUUACUGUUAUAAACUACCAUCCAUGUAAACAUUAUUGAAACACUGCUGUUGUAAACUGGUAUUUGGAUUCGGUGUA